UACGGAGGGUGCGAGCGUUGUCCGGAAUCAUUGGGCGUAAAGGGCGCUUAGGUGGCCCGGUCAGUUCGUGGUGAAAGCGCGGGGCUCAACCCUGCGUCGGCCAUGAAUACUGCCGCGGCUGGAGCACUGUAGAGGCAGGCGGAAUUCCGGGUGUAGCGGUGGAAUGCGUAGAGAUCCGGAAGAACACCGGUGGCGAAGGCGGCCUGCUGGGCAGUUGCUGACACUGAGGCGCGACAGCGUGGGGAGCAAACAGG
rnacentral:rRNA from 1 species